rnacentral:lncRNA from 1 species
CCCUCUCUCUCUCUCACACACAUACAUAUAUAAAUUAUAUUACAUCCUCUCUCUCACACACACAUAUAUAUCUUGAAAAUAAAGAAGCUUACACAUUAUAAAGGGUAACAGGAUAUCCAUUUGUUGGGACAGGUACUAAGAAAAAAGGGCAUAAUAUUUUUUCUGAAGGAACCUUAGCUUCCCACCUAAAUUUUUUGAGUACAUGAUGAAGGAAAACAAGAAUCAUUAUUCUUGCAAACUCUUUUCCAGGACACAUUUUUUGUCCUCCUCCAAAUGGAAUUGAUGUGUAAGGAACUAAUCCAUUCCCUUCAAAUCUACAAGGAUCAAACUUUGUAGGAUUUGGGAAGUAUUCACCAUUCUUUUGUGUAGCUCCAACACUUAAAUAUAUCUGCAAAAUUCAAACUUUAGUAUAUUAUGUUCAAAAUCAUAUAUGACUAAGAUUCUCGAAUGCGGAAAAGGAUCCAAUGAAUUCAAAAGAAUUGAACGAGAAGUCGUAUGAGGUGAAAAUCUCAUGUACGAUUCUGUAGAGUAGCAGUGGGUGAUUUAUCUGUCAUCUUUUUCACUAUCACCCCAAAAAAACAAACGCUGCCUUACAUAAAGUUGCUUGAAUACAAUUAACCUCUAAUUUAUUAUUUAGAAAUAAUUAAUGUUAUAGAUUAUAUUGUAAAAAAUAUUUACUCAAUCAUGUUAUUUAUUGUCUAUUGAUAAACCUAAAAAACAUAUAGUUAACAUGUUAUAGUAUUUUAAACUUUUAAGUAAAUCUCUAUGAUAAGUAUUGCAAGUUGAAAUCUUCUCCUUAUUCUCCAAGUAUAAAUCUUAAUAUUUUACUAUCAUUUCUAAGUGAUUAAUAAUCUAUGAUGCUUAUAUCCUCAUGUUAUAAACUAAUUAUUUUAAAUUAAAUUAGAUAUCAUGGCCAAUGUCCAUCUAAUUAUUUAAUUUCAUACAUUUUAAAUUAAAAGGCUAAAGUUUUACCUUCCAUCCUUUUGGUAUGAGGAAGCCAUCAUAAGUGAUGUCCUCUAUGACUUCUCUAAAAGUACCUUGCAGAAUUGGUGUAUCUCUUAAUACUUCAUUCACAAAAUUCCAAGUUUUCUUCAUUUUUUGAAUGUCAUUCCAACAUAGCACUUCCCUUGGCAUCAUAUUCCUUGAAAUCUCAUUUUGCUCUUUCAUUUUAAAAAAAUUAUAUUACACAUCAGAUCAUCAAAAAGAUAACUACAAAGUAAUUCUUCAUAAAUAGUAAGAUUUUCAAUCUUGAGAAAUAAGGGAGGUUUUAUGCUAUGACAAGUAAAAAUAACAUGAUAUCAAAAAAUUCUUUAUAUUGUGUAAUAUUUUUUUGAAUGUUAAAAUUAAGUUGACUUAUAAUAACAAAAAACUCUAUAUAACAAACAUGAUAUGAUAAUAAAAAAAUGAAAUAGCCUAUGAAUUAAAUAAUAUUAUGGAAAUUAUUUACAUUAUCGAUAUAUAUAAUCUUAGUCUCUAUCUUUCAAAUCCUAGUUGAGAAGAGGGAAGGUAGAUUGUGGUGGAAUUGGUCAACCAAACUUAUUAUUUUUUAGUUUAUAAGCAUGCACUUUUAGUUUGUUUAAGAUAUUUAAUAGUACUUUAGUCAUUUUAUAUUUUAUAAAAAAAAAAUAAACAACUUAUCAACCAUUCAUAAGACUAUGGACACACGUGGACGUGGUGUCAACGUAUGGAUUUAUGGCAUGUUAAUUGCAUGGCAUGAAUUGUCAACACUCUAUAAUAAAGAAAUUUCAGACUCCUAUUUUUAUUUUUAUUUUGCGUUUCUAAUUUCCUAUUAAGGAUAGAAUUCAUUGCCCCUUUUUGAAAAAUCUAUCGCCUUCGCGUAAUCAGAGAUGAGUCAUGUCUUGUCUAAUCAUCUCGUCUCAAUUCUUUUUUCGAUCUACCUCUACCUUCGUUUAUACAUACCAUUGUCAACCACUUGCAUAUUAAUCACACUAGGCUAUAUGUGUUCCUCCUCUUUACAUUAUCGAACCAUCUCAAUCUUGCUUUCCGCAUUUUUUCAAUCACAAAGGCUUCUUCCACAUUGUCAUGUAUAUCUUCAUUCAUAAUCUCGUCUCUCAUAUGCACACACAUACAUCUAAGCAUCUUUAUUUUCGCUAUUUUCGUCAUAUGAACUUGUGGGUUCUUUAUUGACUAAGACUAUGUCGCAUACAACAUAGUAAUUGAUCUAACACGCAACACGAAUUACUUUUAAGUCUUGAUUAUAUAUUUUUAUUACAUAGGACACUAGAUGCAAGCCUCCGGCCAUUUCAUUCACCGCUUCAAUAUGAUGUGUGACAUCAUCGUCAAUCUUUCUAUUUCCUUGGGUUAUUGAUCCAAGGUACUUGAAGUUUUUUCUCGUGGAGGUGACUUAUGUAACAAUUCUCAUGUGAUGCAUCACUGAACUUGCACUACUACAUCUACUCUAUUUUAGUCAUUCUCAAGUUGAAAUUUUUAUACCUUAAGAUUAGUCUUUCCUUCUCAUUGUUGUCACUCCAUUCUUGUUUCGUCCUACAUAUUCUUAAUAAUAGAUACACCUCUACUCGCCAAACAUCUUCAUGUAGGGUGUGUUUGGUAUGAAGGAAAAUAUUUUUCAAUAUUUUCUCAUGUUUGAUUGGGUUAAAUGUUUUGUAAAAUGUUUUCCAAAUCAACUCAUUUUCCUCAAAUUUAAGGAAAAUGACUUCCCUUCAAAACUUAAGGAAAACAUUUUCCAAAACUCUCUUCCAACUUCAAGUUACAAUUUUUUUUUGUUGAAAUUUUUUUGUCCCUACCCUCAAACCCCCCCCCCUCCCCCCGCAAAAAAAUAAAUAAAUUUAAAGCUUGUUUUUAAAAAAUGUUUUUAACUUCAAUAUUUUUACCCCAUCCUCACCCUUACACCCAGCCCCCUACCACCACCCUCCUCCAAAAAGAAAUUAAAAAUUAUUUUUAAAAGAUAUUUCUGAUUUCAAUUUUUACUUUUUUUACCCCCUCCCCCCAUGCCCUACCCUCGCGCCCCAUCAACCCCCACUCCCUUCAAAAAAAAAAUUAAGUUUGUUUUUAAAAAAUAUUGUCAACUUCAAAAUUUUAUUUUUUCAAAAAAUAUUUUCAACAUCAAAAUUUCAUUUUUUCACCCCUACCUACCCCCACCCCCAAAAAAUUUUAAGUUUGUUUUUAAAAAAUAUUUUCAACAUCAAAAUUUCAUUUUUUCACCCCUACCUACCCCCACCCCCAAAAAAUUUUAAGUUUGUUUUUAAAAAAUAUUUUCAACAUCAAAAUUUCAUUUUUUCACCCCUACCUACCCCCACCCCCAAAAAAUUUUAAGUUUGUUUUUAAAAAAUAUUUUCAAUUUCAAAAAUUAUUUUCUACUCUAGUAAAAAUAAAAGAUAUUUCUCAAAAAUAUUUUUCAUUCAUAAAUCAAACACUAAAAAUCUUUUUUCGGAAAAUAUUUUCUAGUCACCAACCAAACAUGAGAAAAUAAGUCAAAAAUCAACUUGUUUUCCAGGAAAACAUUUUCCUUCAUACCAAACACACCCGUAAUCUCUCUAUGAAACUUCGUCUUAUAUUUGGUUGUUGUUUGAUAGGAAAUGAGUUAUUUAUAUACUAACACUAGCACAACUAAUACCAUGUUUGGUUGAUUCUUUCUAAUUUCAUAUUUGAUUGCUUUGUCUAAAAUUCAGCACAUCAAAUAUGAUGUAUGGUUAUUAUUUUACAAUCUCACAAAAAUAAAAUAAUAGAUUCACUAUAAUAAAUAAAUGAUUUUGUUGUAAUGGUAUAAUUGUCGCUAUAUUAUAUUUAGCAGCAAUAAUGUAUAUGAGUAUUUAUAACCAAUCCUCUAUAUAAAUGUCACUAAAGACUUUAGCGACUCUGAAUGCAAUGACAUUAAUUCAAUUACUGCCAAAUAUUUUUGCGGCAAUACUAAAAGAAAAUUCUAUCCCCAUUAAAUGUCUCUUUUGUUGUAGUGAUUAUGAGUGAAUAUAAAACAGAAUAACUAAUACAUGAAUUAAUAUAAUACAUGAAUAUGCCAUAUGCAUGAUUAAUCCUUGCAUUAGUAAUAUCUGCAUAACUCUAAUCAACAACCACACGACCCUAAACUAUCAUAAAUCAAAUGUUCAAUAGGUCAAAUCCUAGAUAAUAAAUAAUUGAUGAGAAAUACCUUGGACUAUGUCAUUGAAGAACUCAUGCUUCUCUUCAAGAUACUUCAUGAUCAAAGUAAUAGCUGUACCAGUAGUAUGGUAACUACCAAUGAUAAAUCCAAACAAUUUAUCAAUCAUUUCUACCUCACUCAUGCACUUGCCAUUUCCAUCUUUUUCAUUAAUCACUUGUGUUAACACAUCAACCUUAGACAAAUUUGGAUUCUCUAGUAAUUCUUUUCUUCUUUCUUCAAUAAUAGCCUUCAUUUCCUUCCUUAAUUCUUUUCCUACUUUCAUUGCCUUAUAAAAUGUUGUACCUGGAAAAUUUAUGUCCAACACCAAAAGACCUCGCGAAAAAAUAUUGAAUUUUUCAUACAGAUUCAAAAUUUUAUCCGAGUUUUCGAUGCCCAUAAACACUCUAAUAGAAAGUAUGAAAGUGAAUAACUUCACUAGAUCAUACACUAUUACUUCAUUAUUCCCUUUCCAAUGAUUUUCCAAAUGUGUGUGUGACAUAUAGUCCAUAGUACUAAUAAGUGUUUCAACAUUUUGUGAGUUUAAGAAAUAGCUCAUUACAUUUUGCGCUCUUUUGGUGUCAUGUUCUAUAGGAACAAAUGAUGUAGAAGGAAAAAGUUUUUGAACAGAAUUAGGCCUCCAACCAAUAAGAAGUUUAUUGCCUCUAGUGAAUAUGAAUUUGUUAGCAUUUGGACCUGAAAAAACAACCACUUUUUGGCCAAGUAUUGAGGUUUUGAAAACAUUAGAGUUGUAUUUUUUUGUUCUUUCUUGAACAAACUCAUGUACCAAUCCAUAGUAAAGUGAUACAAGAAAUUGAAUGGUUUCUCCAAUAAUAGGCAAACCAAAAGUACCAGGAGGAAUAAGAGGGUUUUUAUCUUUAGGGUUGGCAAAGAAAUAAUUGAACAAAAUACUGAUGAUGAUCAUAGCAAGCAAGGUUGCAAUAAAGAGGAGGAAGAGGUCCAUUUUGUGUACGCGGUAUAACACAACGUAACAUAAUAUUAAUAUAUAUGAGAGACGGCUUAACAAAUCUUGUGGUGUAAAGUCAAAUCAUAAAAAGAGGCUUUAAAGUUGGUUAAAUGAAAUUGUAUUUAUUUCAAUUCACAAUUUAUUGUCUAGCUUCUUAAGUAGUAAAGCUAUUGAUCACGUUUAAAAUAUAAUUUUCUAACAUGUAUAUUGAGUUCUGAAUAAACUAAUUUAUAUCUUUAAGUUGAUAUUCACUUUUCUUGAAACAUUUUUAAAAUGGAGUAACUGUUUAGUAAAUGAUAUCUUUUUAUUUUUCUUAUAACUUAUGGACCUAUAGACCAAUGUCUUAAUAUUCCUUCUGGAAAAUAUGAAAAUAAUAUAAUAAAAUGUCAGAUUAGAAUCUAAAAUUUUGUAAAAUUUUUUGUAAGUUAAUGUAAACUCGGCCGAUAGUGUAAUGUUUCUUGAGGCCUAAAGCCGCCCUUGCAUGGAAUCAAUGUACGGUACUGUACCAAUAAUGUUUUUUCUAAAAGAAAACAAAAGUUGACAAUACCAUUUGUGUACUAAAAGAUGCCAACAUGUUAAUUUAAAAGUUCAUUAAAAGUGGUAUUAAUAUAUCUGUAUUAUUAUAAAAAGGGAUAAGAGUCUGAAAAAUAUCUCAACUUUGGUCGAAUUUGCUGUUGCCAGGGGCGGAGCUACCCUUGCCCGAGGGGUGUCAAGCGACACCCCUUCAUCGGAAAAUUACGUUGUAUAGGUAAGUCAAAUUCUGAUUUUAUACUAUAUAUAUUAGAAUUGACACUCCUGAACCAAGUUGAAGUGUUGGUUUAGCGGUUCAGGGGCUACAAAGUUCCGCCUUGUCAUUGACCUAAGCGUUGGGAGUUCGAACCUUGCUGAAGCCUAUUUUUUUUAAAGGCUUUCAGCGUUUUUUUUUAACUUUUUAGACAACUUGUGUGCAUACUACUUUAUAUUUUGACACCCCUCAAUCUAAAUCCUGGCUCCGCCACUGGCUGUUGCGAUACUAAACUUUCAUGAGGACAUAUUACCUCCCUAGACUAUUUAAUACCNNNNNNNNNNNNNNNNNNNNNNNNNNNNNNNNNNNNNNNNNNNNNNNNNNNNNNNNNNNNNNNNNNNNNNNNNNNNNNNNNNNNNNNNNNNNNNNNNNNNNNNNNNNNNNNNNNNNNNNNNNNNNNNNNNNNNNNNNNNNNNNNNNNNNNNNNNNNNNNNUAUUAAUUAGUCUAGGGAGGUAAUAGGUCCUCAUGAAAGUUUAGUAUCGCAACAGCAAAUCCGACCAAAGUUGGGGUAUUUUUCAGACCCUUAUCCCUUAUAAAAAUAUGAUGAAUUUUAGUUGCAAGUGAAAUAAAUUUGCCUAAUAUUUUCUUUUGGUGACCAGAAAGUAAUACUAUGUAAUACCAUUUCACUCAUGGGGCAUGAUCGGAAUAUAUAAAAUUGAAUCGAAAAUUAAAUAAGAUUGCAGAUCGAGCAAACUGAAAAAAAAUCUAACUAAUGAUUUGAUUGGGCUUGAUUUGGUACUGGAAAAAAAACCUGAAUUGGAUUGAUUUGGUUUUAACUAAAGAAGUCAAUCCGAGUUUAUUAGUUUGAUUUGAUUUAUAAAUUUAAAAAUUCAACACAAAUAAUAGUUUUUUUUUAACUAAGAAAUUUUCAUUAAUAAAUAAAAGAACCUUCGAAGAGAAGAGUACAGGCAAGGUGGGCUAGCUAGACCUUACCUUACCGAUCAUAUUGCAAUAAUUGUCACGACCCAAAAUGAGUCGUGAAUGGCACCAACACUUAACCUCCUUAGUGGGCGAACCAAGGAAUUCAAACCCCAACAUAUAUCAAUAAUUCAACUACAAAUAACAACAACAAUAAUGCGGAAGUUCAAAACUUAUUAAAGUAACCAAUCAAAUAAACCUCUAAAGUCUAACACUUAUUAUCCCUAAAUCUGAAAGUCAUCACAUCAAGGACAUCUAGUCUUCAAAUACUAAGUCUAAGAGUAUUAAAGACACCAAAAUAAAUGAAUAAAAUAGUUUAUAUCCGAAAACUAAGGACAUCAUGCCAUGACCAAGAGAAUCCAACACGAGCUGGAAUGAAUAGCUCACCCUGGAACCUGAUGUGCUGGAGACUGGCUAGAGCUGAGGGCGGGUCAAAGUCACUGAUACACUCGCUACACUCCACAAAAAGAAAACAAAGAAAAACACAAAUAGGGCUCAGUACAGGGUAACUUGUACUAAGUAGAUAUCAUCAGCCAACCCAAAAUAGAAACUAAUAUGUAAUGAAUAAUAGUAUAAAAUCAACUAUGACACUUAGCAGGUGGCAAGCACCAAACACAUGAACCAGUGUCAACAACACUAAAGUAAGUACGUAAUCAGUCAACAAUAUCAAAAUCACACAUGAGGACUCAAGCCUCCAAACCAAACUAAUUUGGGAAUUGAGUUCUUUGAGAUUGAGUACAUUAAGUUAAUUCAAUAUCUUUUUCCUUUAAUGUUACCGUGUCGGAAUGUGACACUCCGAUAAAAAUAUACUGUGUCGAAAAACGUGACACUCCGAUCCAAUAAUACCGUGUCGGAACGUGACACUCUAAUCCAAUUAUACCGUGUCGGAACAUGACACUCCAAUCCAAUAAUACCGUGUCGGAAUGUGACACUCCGAUCCAAUUAUACCGUGUCAAAACGUGACACUCUGAUCCAAUAAUAUCAUUAAUUUAUCAUUUAUUAUCACCACUUUUCAAUUCAUUAACAAUAUUUCAUCAAGCCUUCUUUAUUCAAUGCAUUACUUCGAUAGAGAGGGUUCAAGAUUAUAAAUUCCAUGGUCUCAGGAUUUCAGACCAAUCACAAACCACACAACCAAGCUACAUAAUCACAUAAUCAAGUACAUAGAGAACUUCACAAUAUCAUUCAAUGCAUAUCAAUCACUAUUAAGAGUCUAUCUAUCAAAUAGAAUAAACCAUAACCUAUCGAAUAAUAUAAUAUACCUAAUAUUUAUUUACCUAUCUCAAUAUAUUACAACUUACCUUGUAUUAUGAUAAUAAAAUAAUAUUAAUUAAAAAUGGAAGCUAACUGGUGAUGCGAGAACCAUGCUAAACUCAUAACACCUAUGCCAUAAGUAAUAACCUUACCCAUUCAAUUGUAUAAACUACACUUCACUGGAGUAUGUUGUCAACUUCAAUAUAUUACUAUAUGAUGGUAAUAACUAACUCAAUUGUCAAUCAUUCAUUAAUUGGUCAUUAAGAAGUCGUACAAUAAUGCCAACAACUCACAUGAAUGACUAACCACGUUUUUCAUACAGUUUUUAAUACAUCAACACUAACAAACCAAUAUUAUCUAAUCACUGUAGUAUCCAUUCUUCUCAAAUAACAAUUUUCUACACCACAUAUUAUAAUUAUUAACGUUCAAUUCUUGAUCAAUACUAUGCCAUAAUUAUUCCUCAAUUAUGUUACUGUCAUUACCCAGACAAACAAACCCACAACAAUUUAUCCCCAUCAUUUUCAUAUACACAAGUUGGCAUAUCGUCCUUCUAAUUCAUUAUCCAAUUUAAAACUACCCUACUAAUUUAAUAAUAUAGUUACGAAUAGUCCAAAAUACUCAUUUAGAAUCUAUCGAAAGAGUCUUUUAUGAAAUAAAAAGUUCUAAUACUCAAAACGACCAAUUGAGUCGUUACAUUAUAUACCAAUUUACCCAUCGUUCGUCCUCGAACGAUCAAAAAAAGGUGAGGGUAAGAAAGGAUAGUUGUCUCAACAAUUCCUUCAAAAUAUUAGUACCCAAGGUCUCCUAUCAAAAAUAUCAAUCCAAUCAAUUGGAGAUCUCUACACCUCCUCCCAUACAAUGCCUCAAAUGGAGCCAUCUCAAUACUCUAAUGAUAAAUGUUAUUUUAUGUAAACUCUACCAACAACAAAACUAUUCCCAAGUGGACUCUUCAACUGACCGAUUCUCCAAACAACCGUCAGGAUAAAUAUUAUUUAACAUAACCAUGAUAAAAUUCUUAAUCAAUAUUGACUACAAUUAGGAGUGAACCUGAACCAACCACCACACACUCAUAAUGCACAAGCCAUCAUAGAUCUUAUCAAGAUUACAUCGUCACUGUCACGCCUCAAGCUACCCCCAAGACGCGGACAUAGGACCUAGGAUCACAAGUGACCUCAAGCUAACCCUGCUGGCAUGACAUGAGCAUACCAUGAUAACAAAACUGAUGCAGAAACUUAAAUAUCAUAAAAAUAAAAGUGAUGGGGAAUACCUAUAUACUAAAACUAAAUGUAUCAAAUCUGAGAGUUUUAAUACAAAAGAAAUAUCAAACUCAAAUACAAAGCUGAAUCUACUAUGUCUGGAAUAAGCCUCUAAACUGACUAGAAAUAUUGGGACAUGCCCUAACUAGAUCUAGCAAAAUUUAAACUAGAGACUAAAAUUGAUAAAGAUAAAUAUGUCGCUAGUCCUCGAAGAAUGAUGACUCACCACUAAUGCUGCUAAACUGAAGAUCGGGAAUCGAUCUAUGAGUGAUCUGACUGCUAGGGACCUGAACCUACAUCACGAGAAGAUGUAGCGCAAUAUAUGCGUCAGCACUUGAAAGGUACUGAGCAUAUAUGAUAGAGUAAAGCUGAAAUAAACAUAUAACUGAACAAGCAAUAAAGCAAGAGCAUAAUCUGAACAUGAUAUACCAUGUUAAUUUAAAAGUUCAUUAAAAGCGGUAUUAAUAUAUCUGUAUAAUUAUAAAAUAUGAUGAAUUUUAGUUGCAAGUGAAAUAAAUUUGCCUAAUAUUUUCUUUUGGUGACCAGAAAAUAAUACUAUGUAAUACCAUUUCACUCAUGGUGCAUGAUCGGAAUAUAUAAAAUCAAAUCGAAAAUAAAAUAAAAUUGCAGAUCGAGUCAAAUCGAAAAAAAAUCUGACUAAUGAUUUGAUUGGGCUUGAUUUGGUACUGGAAAAAAAACCUGAAUUCGAUUGAUUUGGUUUUAACUAAAGAAGUCAAUCCAAGUUUAUUAGUUUGAUUUGAUUUAUAAAUUUAAAAAUUCAACACAAAUAAUAGUUUGAUUUCAUAUCUAAAAAAUUCAAAUCAAUUCGGUCAUAUACACCCCUAGUGCAUGACAUACAACAAGAAGCCACUAAAUAGAUGUCCAAUUUAUUUUUGACUUUUAGACCACUAAUUAGCUUGAGCCGACAAUUACCUUUUGGGUUGGCACAUGCAUCACAUGAUUUGCUAGCUACUUAAUGUAUGUCAUGUUCGUUUUUAUCACGAGUGAUCAAACAGAGUGCUGGGCCUUAUCAUAGGAGUGGUACAUAAGUGAACACUCUGCAACAUUGUUGGCCAUGAAUUUAUUGAGUAUAUCCCAAAAAAAAAAAAAGAGCAUCCAAUAUAAUGUGAUCGAAAUUUCAGAAACACAUUUUAACUAAAUUAAAGUCUUGUUAUCCUCCUAAACUCAAUUUUUUUUUAUAAUUUUAUACACCUUUUUGCCCUCCCACACACCUCACCUAAGUGGAGUCAUGGAGUGUGUCGUGUAAGCUAAAAGGUGUACAAAAUUACAAAAAAAAUAAAAUGAGUUCAGGAGUAAUAGGACCUUAGUUUAGUAGUGUGUCUCUGAGAUUUCUGUCAUAUUGUAGGUACUUGUGCCUUAUCCCUUUUUAAUGUUUUUUCUACGAAAAUUUUUGUGAAGCCCUUUAAAAGGAAAAAUUACAAAAAUAUACUACUUAAGACUUUUAUUAACAAAAUAUCAAUAUACUUAUAUUUAAUUACAAACUAAGUUUUUAAAUUACAUACAUAACAAAACAUUUAAUUUUUGUAUUUAUUUUAAUUUUGUUUUACAGAUUUUUCUCUCUCAUACUAUUAGUAUUUCGUGCCUUUUAUAUGGAGUAUAAUUAGGAUAUUAAUAUUUACCAAAUAUUCUCUCUCCUAAACAGUUUCAAAUACACACGAUUCAUUACUUUUAUUUUUUUUCCCUUUUUUAGGCUUAGUGGACCUUUUGGGGAUCAUAAUUAGUUUAUUCCUUUUUUGAUAAAGCUGUUUUUUUACCAAGAAAGGGGUGUACUUAUCAAUGUGGAGUUAUAGUUUCAAGAAAUCUUGAAAAUAUUUUGGGAAGUCAAAAGGGUUUCUCUUCCAUAUUCUUCUUCAUUUUUCUUAACCUUUAAUCUUCUUCACAUAAACGAUUCACAAUCUAACUAACCAAAAAUUUUAUAAAUUUUAGAUGGAAAAGACUCCAUGUAAAAGUAUAAUGUGUCUUUUUUGUGGUUGAUUAUACUAUGUAUUGUACUAAUUAUGCUGAUUGGGUAAUAUUUGUAGGGAUUGUGGUAUGUAUACAUGUGUAUGAACAUAUCUAUGUCGGGUGUAAAUGCUAAAAAUCUUCGGUUGAGAUUUGAAGCAUUACUGUGGGAAUAUGAAAAGAUGAAAAUUGAUACUGAAUCUGUUAGUGAAGAUGAAGCUUCUAAGCAAGGUGGUCGAUCAAAUCGGAGGGUCAAGGAGUAAAAAGUGUUAUUUCUUAAGACAGAAUUUCAUGAAUGUUUUAUGAUUUUUGAAUCUCUUUUGUUAUUUUGGAUUGUACUUUAGUUGCGUUUAUGGUUUUGAGUUCGUUGUUGGAUAUUGUCUUUAUUCUGUGAUUAUGCAUUUAUUUGGUUGCUUUUUUGGUUAAAUUUUGUGAUAAAUUUAUAGUGUGAGUUUGAUUUGUACAUGUAUGAGUUUGGUAUAAAUUUAGGUAUAAAUUGGAUUUUAUAAUUAUUGAAAAAUUAUACUAAAUGCUUGUAUAUGAUCGAUUGGAUUUCUUUCAAAGUUGCAGGUUGGUAUACAUACCAAUGUGUUUACCCAGUUUUGUGUUUUUUUUCUUUCAUAUGUAAACCAAUUUNNNNNNNNNUCGUGCUUUUUUUAAUUUUAUGAUUUCAGUGUUAACCAAGAUUGUAGUCAUAAGCCAUUUAUUGAAAUAUCAAAGUAUUUUANNNNNNNNNNNNNNNNNNNNNNNNNNNNNNNNNNNNNNNNNNNNNNNNNNNNNNNNNNNNNNNNNNNNNNNNNNNNNNNNNNNNNNNNNNNNNNNNNNNNNNNNNNNNNNNNNNNNNNNNNNNNNNNNNNNNNNNNNNNNNNNNNNNNNNNNNNNNNNNNNNNNNNNUCAAAGAUUACAUACCCUUAAACCAAUUUUUAAAAUUUAUGAUUUUAUCAGGUUACUUCAAUAAAUGUAGGAACUAUUUUUCAUAUUAUUAUUUACACCAAUUCACAUACUUAAAAUACACUAAAAUAUGUACAAUAUUUUUAUUUAUGAGGUUCUAAUUAUAUACCAUAGAUCGUCAAACUUGUAGUUUUUUACACCAUCAAUUACAUCAAAUAAUUUAUUACUACAGUCAUUUUAAUAUACGUAUGUUCAUAUGUAAGAUAAUAUACCAUUAUCAUUAUGACUAUUUGGUUGUUAUAUAUACCAUCAUUUAUACCAAGUUUUUGUACCAGUUGUAACCAAAGUAAACCAAUUGUACAGUAAUUGAGUGUUAAUUAUUGUAGCGUCCAAACUAAUAUACUAACAUCUAAUACUUUUCAAUUUAUUGUUUUAGGUUGGUGUAUACUCCAAACAUUUGUUUUACUAUAUACACCAUUAUUAUGAUCCUUUAUUUUUAUCAUAAAUUUGUGCCUAUUUAUCAUAGUUUCACAACGAAUUUGGCAUAUUUACCAUAUCAAAUCAACAACAGAAUAUCAUCCAAUAAGUUCUAUUUUUUAUCAAUAUUUCUAGAUAUGUGACAACACGUAAUCCAAAAGUGUUCAUGAUAUCUAAUAUAUACAACCAUUUAUAACAACUAUGAAUUCAAAAAUAUGAAUAAGAUAACUCAGAGAAAGGGAGUUUUGUUUUGGUAGGAAACCUCUAUUUAUGGGAGAUAAUAUAUAGCAUAUUUGAAUAAAUUAGGAAAGAUAAAUUAUUGGAGAAAUUUAUGGGAAUCGGGAUUAGCAUGGCUGAUUUGGAUUUUUUUUAAAAAUUUAAAUUCUACUUUUGAAAAAAAAGUAUUGCUAUAUAAUUGAAAAAAAAGGAUUGCUAUGUUGGUGUAAAUACAGUUGUUAAGUUGUAUAGUUAAAAAAUCGACCCCUUUAAAAUCUAAAAAUAAAAAUAAAAAUAAAAAUAGCUCCACUACUACUAGGUGGGUGCUCUAAUUUUGUCGAAAGCCCAAGAAGGUAAAUAACUAGCCUCAACCUGGUCAGUGGUUGGGCCUUCUCCAAAUUUAGCCCAAAAUUUGGAUCUUGUUCUUACGCAAGGCCCAAGUGCACAGACAUCCGAUAUUUGGAACACUUUACGAGUCUAUCCACCUCAGAUUAACUUUAGAAAUGUUGCGUCUGAAGUUAAAACUUUACAAAGCCUAAAACUUCAGAUUAAGUUAUAUGGCUGAAUUCAACAAUUUUUGUCCGGACUUUGAUUAUAUGUAACUUCAAAUUUAACUUUUGACCGUUAUAUAUGUCCAUAAAAAAUAAUAUAGAUUAAAGCGAUAUUCAAAUAGAGCAUCGGUGAAACUCUUACUUUAAAUAUGUUGUUGAAUAAUAUUUCAUGUUUUCUUCUUGCAUGGAAAUAUCUUAAGUAGUUAAAAUGUUGGCUCCUCAACUACUUUUAACGUAUUUAAUUCACCCGAGAAUUGAUAUGUAUUUUAUGGAUUACUUUCCAUUAAUAAUUAUAACCGCCAGAAGCAAAACUCCGUAUUUUUUUUAAAGAAUCUCCUAAUUAAUUUUACAAUAUAGUAAUUGGCAAAGAUAUAUAUAGGAAUGAGACAUGUCAAAGGAAAUAAGUAAAUAUUUAAGUUCCUACGUGGAACGUUGUAGCUGCAGGAGACACGUAUAUCAACAUUAACCAUUGAAUAUUUAUACGUUUAAUAAAAUGAAAUGAUCCUAUAAAAGAUUCUUUUUAGUUUAUGAAAAAUAUAAAAAGAUAAUUUGGUUCAUGAAAUAUACAUCUCGCCUUCGUGUGAGUUUGAGGAAGGGUUGCACUCUAAAAUAAUAUAAUGUAGAUAAUUAAUUCUUAUAUAAAUAAAAAAUUAUUAUUAUGAGAUUUAUUUUGCGUGUAUUAAUACAUCCUGCUAACGGUUUGGUGAUCAAUGCUCACCAUGACAAAUGUCGGUUUUUUGGCAUUGCUGAAUCAUGAAAAGAAUUCAUCUUUAUGGGCAUUUAUGUAUGUAUUAGUACCUGAUAGACCUGAAAUUUGAUCAGUUCAUAUAAAAUGGCCUGAUGAUAAAUAUUCUUCAUGUUAAAAUGUUGUUUUUGGCAUUUUGAAGUAAUGAAACAUGAAUUUAUGAGUAUGGGCAUUUUUUUAUGAGUAUUAAAAAAUGAUUUUUUAAUUUGAUUGACGGACUCUGAUUAACUUAAAGUCUUGUACGUCCAUAAAAAUUGUUCAGUGACCAAUACUAAGUUACUAACCAUGAAAGACGUCAUUUUUUGACGUUUAAGAAUCAUGAAACGCGGAUUCACGAUUAUAUGUUUUUUUGCGCGUAUUAGCAAAUGCUUAUUUUUCUGAAAUUAAUUGACGGAUUCCAAUUGACCUGAAAUUUGAUCAACCAAUCGAAAAUGUUUCAGUGACAAAUACUCAAUAUACCAAACGUCAUUUUUUGGCAUUUCGAGGUCAUGAAUUCAUGAUUAAGAGCAUUUUUUUGUGUGUAUUCAUAUAUGCUACUAGUUUUCAUGAUGAUGAGAGUAUUUUGUUUUUGUGUAUUUCUUCCCUUUUGGCAUUAGCAUGUAGUUUUUUAAAUUAAUUGGCAACUUCGAUUGAUCUAAAAUUUAAUUAAACCAUAAAAAAUGACCUAGUAAUAAAUACUCAUCAUGUCAAACAUCAUUUUUUGGCAUUCUGAGGUCAUGAAACAUGCAUUAAUGGUUGUGGGUGUUGUUGAUUUUCUUGAAUUUCGUUGACAGAUUUCGAUCUACCUGAAAGUCUUUUGAUUCUUUAAAAAUGGUCUGAUGACCAAUACUCACCAUGAGAAACUUCAUUUUUGCAUUUCAGAAUCAUAUGGAACAUGAAAUGAUGAUUAGGAACGUUUUUGUGUGUGUGAUAGUACAUGUCGAUUUUUAUGAAUUUGAUUAUCAAACUCCAAUUGGCUUGAAAUUUUGUUGGUUCAUCAAAAACGCCAUGAUGACCUAUCCUCACCAUGACAAAAUUAAAGUAGAUAUGCGUAUAUUAUAUCCUUCCAGACCUCACUUGAAAAACUAGAUUAGAUAGGUAAGUGUUGUUGUAUUUACAUUUACAUUAUUAAUAAAUAGAACUUUAAUUAUUAAUCAAUACAAUGGAGAUGAGACCAUUAUAUCAGAUUGUUACCAACCAUAUCCUUAACAAUACACAUAGAAACAUAAAACACACAAAUAUACACACAAAUAGGAAAAUGAAGAAUUUCAUCACAUCUUCAUUCCAUUAUAUAUACACACACAUACUCAUAUAUUGAAGAUAGCUCACAUUGCUCUAACAACUAAAUGCAACUAAUACCUUUCUUCCCCUUACAAAAAAAAUGCUUAAAAGGGAAGAAGAAACACUAGAGAGAUUCUUGAAUAAAAGCUAAAAUGAGUGAUCUUUUUUGUCAUCUUCAUUUUUUUCUUCUUCUUUGAUUGUCUCAAGAUUGGUGAAUGAGAAAUAAUCUUUGUUGGGAAAAUAACAAGUGGUGGUGCAACUUCAAUCCAUGGCUUCACAUUCACCAUCUUUUUAGCCAUUGUCACACUAUGAUAUGGGAAAACAUGAGAGACUUGAAAUUCAGCCAAGGUAGACAUUUACUCAGACAGAAAGUUGACUCGAACACUAUGAUUGUCAAAAAUAUCUAGAAAGUACUUUUAAUAAGAGUUUGUUGUAUUGCUUUGGAGUGUGAAGGAAUUGGUUUGAUGAAGAAAAGCAAAAGGUUUUUGAGGGUUUAAAUAGGAGAUGAAAAUAGAAGAUUCUUGAAUGAGAAAAUAUCAAAGACAAUAUUGGAAGUGAAAAUAUUAUUGGACGGUUUUAUGCAAUUCCACGUGUAGAGAAAAUGUCAUAAAUGAAUGAGCAAACAAAUAGGCACCCAUUUGAAAACUAAAGCUUGGCUUGUUGUGAAUGAUUGGUUUACUCAACCAACACAUGUCCAUUUUUUAAGAAAAUGAGUCUUUGAUUGAAAUGUCAAAGCCGACUUUGUCAAGGUGCCUAUAUGAUAUCUAGUUGAUCAAUGAUAACAAGUUUAAGAGACUAUCGAUAUAAUAUGAGCUAUCAGCUUUAAAGCUUGAUCUUAUAUCUCCUCUUCUUUUGAAAGUUGAGCAAUGUCUCAUAAUAUGCUUUGCAUUGGCAUUUUUUAAAGGUACGUAUAACUUCAAAAGAUUCUUUAUGAAUCAAAUAGCAUUCAUUCAGUCCACUCUAUCCUCCCUUGUGUGGGUGUUAAUCUCUACGAGGAGCAGAAAAGGAAGGAGAAAAGAAGCUUUGAUAAAUCGUCAUAAUUAGUGAAUAAGUAGUUCAAUGCAGAGUUGAUCAAACAUUCACAGAAUGUAAGAACUCGUCCAUUAACAAUUUGUUUGGUAGUUGAAUAAGAAAUAAGUUAUUUAUUUGCUAAUUUUUAUAUAACUUAUACGACAUUUAGCAGGUAGAUAGAAAAAAUGUUAUUCAUAAAUAAAAUUAAUAUAAUGUUCGAUUGACAAUUUAGAAACCCGCAUAACUAAUACAUGUACUCCCUCCGUCCCAUUUUAUGUGGCACUUUUCGAAUUUCGAGAUUCAAACAUAUCUAUCUUUGACCGUAAAUUUUUCAUAAAUUUUUUAAACAUUUUGAACUAUCAAUUAUUGUGACUUACAGUACUUUUAUGUAGGUUACAAAUAUAUAAAUUUCAUUUCAAAAAAAUUGAAGAUUUCAUGCGCAAAUUUUCAAUCAAACUUAAAUUAUUUGACUCUCAAAAAACAAAAAGUAUCACAUAAAUUGAGACGGAGGGAGUAUUCAUAAAUAAUUCCUAUAUUACUAAUAUUUGCAUAAUUAUAACCAAUUAUUAAACGACGCCCAAGUCGGUACCCACAAAAACAUCACUAAUUGAGCAUCAGUAAUUUCAUAUCCUGUCAAAAUUGUGGCAUGUAGUACAUAGUAAAAUUAAAUACUCAUUUUUGUACAAUGAUGGUAUUGUGCAUAUUCUAACUAUUCCAUUAAACAUAUAUCUACGAUGUUGAGUAACUUUAUCCACUAAAAUUUAAAUAAAUUGAAAGAAACGUGAAAAAUUGAAAGUUCAAGUUGUGACCCGAAACAAAUCACGAUGAAAUUAACUCUUGUGGUGAUAUAAAAUGAGUUAAAAUUCAAGAUAAGGAAUAUGUAUCCUAUAGUUGAAGUAAUUUGUAUUUUGGUGGCAUUUGGCAAUGGAAAUUGGUAUGGACACUUAAUAUGGAUGAGAAGAUUUUUUAGUCAUGUUUGAAGAACUUGGAGAACCAAAUACCAAGACCAAUUAUAUAUAAAGGGAGCUUACCCCACUUCAUAUUUGGACGGUGACAUAGUUUAGGUGUGUAAUCGUUAAUUUAGUCUACUAUUUUUACCCUAACUUACAAGUAGAGGUUUGGAUGAAGAAAGGGGCACUCAGUUUCCUUGGGUGAGAGGAUUAUAAAAAUAAAUUGACAUACACACUCUGCGAUAGGUAAAAGGCAAAGAGCCCACCAUCUCAGCAAAAGGUAGGGUAAGUCUACGUACACACUACCCUCGUCAAACCCACUUGUUCGAUUACAUUGGUUAUGUUGUUGUUGUAACUACUACACUAGGAGCAGUGCUGCGACAGUCUGGCUUUCUAGAAAAGAACAAGGAUGUCUUCUAAUAGAGAUCUAAGCGUACUUUUUUUGCUGGGGCAAGAAAGAUCUAAAUGUACUGAAGAUGAAAAUGUGUCAUAAGCCCCAUUUAUAUGGUAUAGCCAAAAAAAUUGCAACUGAUCACACCUGUGUAGCUAAAUGAAAAUGGUAUAUGGAAAAUAACUAUAUAGCAUAUUUAGCCAUACGAUAAGAACUAUCAGAAACACGAGAAUUCAAGAGCUUAACAUGUUAAAGACAACACAUCUACUUGGACAAAUGAGUUCAAUCAAUCUUUAGGCACGACAAGACGAAACAGCCAAAGCAAAGGUAAUAGGAGAAGUUACAUUAGCACAACAAUAUACAUUGUGUAAUCCCACACGUGAGUCUGGAGAGGGUAAAGUAUACGCAAAUCUUACCCCAAAUGAUUGUUCUUCUAUAUGCACGUUAUGACUAAAGUCAUUUGAGGUUAUGACAACAGAGAUGAUAUUCCUAGGAAUAUAAACGACGAUCUAUUUUGAAUAAGCGGAGAUAAUAUUACAAGAAAUAAUAACCUGAUUAAUUAGCAAUAACAAAUACUUAAUUCAUAUUAAGAAGGAAUAGUUCGAGAACUAGAUAAAAUUGGUGAAUCAACUGAAACAUGUAAAUAACAAAUUUGUUCUAAUUUCUUGAUAUUUAUUUUCUUUAUAUUUUAGUUAGUUUAGAAACACUACUUUCGGGUUUAGUCCUUGUAUAAUCUUAUUACUUCAUUAUUUAUAAUAUCACGUACAUUUACAUAUGCGUUUGAGAGCAACAACAAAAAAAAAAUGUAUUUUGACAUAUAUAAUCAAAUCAUAAAGUAUUAUUUUAUUGUAAAUCAACUUAGAAGACAACCUUUAUUUCAUUGAUAAAGAGGAAUCAUCAAUUACAAGGACAUUAAUUAUUUAUAUUACAUCCCCUCUCUCUCACACACACAUACAUAUAUAUAACUUAUAUUACAUCCUCUCUCUCACACACAUAUAUAUCUUGAAAAUAAAGAAGCUUACACAUUAUAAAGGGUAACAGGAUAUCCAUUUGUUGGGACAGGUACUAAGAAAAAAGGGCAUAAUAUUUUUUCUGAAGGAACCUUAGCUUCCCACCUAAAUUUUUUGAGUACAUGAUGAAGGAAAACAAGAAUCAUUAUUCUUGCAAACUCUUUUCCAGGACACAUUUUUUGUCCUCC